rnacentral:rRNA from 1 species
AGAGUUUGAUCCUGGCUCAGGAUGAACGCUGGCGGCGUGCUUAACACAUGCAAGUCGAACGAUUAACCCGCCCUCGGGCGGUUAUAGAGUGGCGAACGGGUGAGUAACACGUGACCAACCUGCCCCUUGCUCCGGGACAACCCAGGGAAACCUCGGCUAAUACCGGAUACUCCGCGCAGCCCGCAUGGGAGGCGCGGGAAAGCCCAGACGGCAAGGGAUGGGGUCGCGGCCCAUUAGGUAGACGGCGGGGUAACGGCCCACCGUGCCCGCGAUGGGUAGCCGGGUUGAGAGACCGAUCGGCCACAUUGGGACUGAGAUACGGCCCAGACUCCUACGGGAGGCAGCAGUGGGGAAUUUUGCGCAAUGGGGGAAACCCUGACGCAGCAACGCCGCGUGCGGGACGAAGGCCUUCGGGUUGUAAACCGCUUUCAGCAGGGAAUAUAGUGAAGGUACCUGCAGAAGAAGCUCCGGCUAACUACGUGCCAGCAGCCGCGGUAAUACGUAGGGAGCGAGCGUUAUCCGGAUUCAUUGGGCGUAAAGCGCGCGUAGGCGGCCCGUCAAGCGGGGUUUCAAAUCCAGGGGCUCAACCUCUGGCCGGACCCCGAACUGGCGGGCUCGAGUGCGGUAGAGGAAGGUGGAAUUCCCAGUGUAGCGGUGAAAUGCGCAGAUAUUGGGAAGAACACCGAUGGCGAAGGCAGCCUUCUGGGCCGCCACUGACGCUGAGGCGCGAAAGCUAGGGGAGCGAACAGGAUUAGAUACCCUGGUAGUCCUAGCCGUAAACGAUGGGCACUAGGUGUGGGGGAGCAUCUCCUCCGUGCCGCAGCCAACGCAUUAAGUGCCCCGCCUGGGGAGUACGGCCGCAAGGCUAAAAC